rnacentral:rRNA from 1 species
GAUGAACGCUGGCGGCGUGCCUAAUACAUGCAAGUCGAGCGAACAGACGAGGAGCUUGCUCCUCUGACGUUAGCGGCGGACGGGUGAGUAACACGUGGAUAACCUACCUAUAAGACUGGGAUAACUUCGGGAAACCGGAGCUAAUACCGGAUAAUAUAUUGAACCGCAUGGUUCAAUAGUGAAAGACGGUUUUGCUGUCACUUAUAGAUGGAUCCGCGCCGCAUUAGCUAGUUGGUAAGGUAACGGCUUACCAAGGCAACGAUGCGUAGCCGACCUGAGAGGGUGAGCGGCCACACUGGAACUGAGACACGGUCCAGACUCCUACGGGAGGCAGCAGUAGGGAAUCUUCCGCAAGGGGCGAAAGCCUGACGGAGCAACGCCGCGUGAGUGAUGAAGGUCUUCGGAUCUGAAAACUCUGUUAUUAGGGAAGAACAAAUGUGUAAGUAACUAUGCACGUCUUGACGGUACCUAAUCAGAAAGCCACGGCUAACUACGUG